GAGGUGGGAGCGGUUGGCCUGCUGGCCUCGCUGCUUGGCGAUUGGCUGCCAGAGACCCGGCUCUGCCAUUUCAGGGCUUUCGGUGCAAUCUCAGGGCCUGCCUGCAACUUCUCGUGCUGGCCCGCACUGGAGCCACAUCAUUGCGGGGCGUAGUGGUACACACCGGUCGUCCCAGAACUCGGGAUACUUGGGUUUGAACUCCUUCCUUUGGACUGAAAUGGCUGCAACCCAACUUCCAGUGGGAAAACCUGUAAAGGCAUCCUGCAGCCUGCCUCCCAUCUGUAGGAAUGGUACCUGGUCCGGUCUGAGGCUGCACUGCUGCUGCUGCUGCUGCUGGACUCAGAGUCUGAGCUGCUUCGGGGAAGGUUGCAGUCAUUACGGUACACCAAGAAACUCUUCUUCACUGGCUGGUUCCCACUGCUGAAGCCAUUGGCUGGAGAUCUUCAGUAAAUACCAGACCUAUUUACUUCUAAAUCCCCAGUUCCUAGCAUGCAUUGGACUCCCAAGCCUGGGCAAAUACCAUGAAACCUGUGAAUAGCUGAAUGAGAAGACCACCAGAUUAGGAGUUGAGGAAGAUCAGAUUACGCAUUAAACGUUGCUUAUUGUAUGCCUGA
rnacentral:lncRNA from 1 species